GAAGCCCAGCUUGCUGGGUGGAUUAGUGGCGAACGGGUGAGUAACACGUGAGUAACCUGCCCCCGACUCUGGGAUAAGCCCGGGAAACUGGGUCUAAUACCGGAUAUGACCUCGCACCGCAUGGUGCGGGGUGGAAAGAUUUAUCGGUGGGGGAUGGACUCGCGGCCUAUCAGCUUGUUGGUGAGGUAAUGGCUCACCAAGGCGACGACGGGUAGCCGGCCUGAGAGGGUGACCGGCCACACUGGGACUGAGACACGGCCCAGACUCCUACGGGAGGCAGCAGUGGGGAAUAUUGCACAAUGGGCGAAAGCCUGAUGCAGCGACGCCGCGUGAGGGAUGACGGCCUUCGGGUUGUAAACCUCUUUCAGUAGGGAAGAAGCGAAAGUGACGGUACCUGCAGAAGAAGCGCCGGCUAACUACGUGCCAGCAGCCGCGGUAAUACGUAGGGCGCAAGCGUUAUCCGGAUUUAUUGGGCGUAAAGAGCUCGUAGGCGGUUUGUCGCGUCUGCCGUGAAAGUCCGAGGCUCAACCUCGGAUCUGCGGUGGGUACGGGCAGACUAGAGUGAUGUAGGGGAGACUGGAAUUCCUGGUGUAGCGGUGAAAUGCGCAGAUAUCAGGAGGAACACCGAUGGCGAAGGCAGGUCUCUGGGCAUUUACUGACGCUGAGGAGCGAAAGCAUGGGGAGCGAACAGGAUUAGAUACCCUGGUAGUCCAUGCCGUAAACGUUGGGCACUAGGUGUGGGGGACAUUCCACGUUUUCCGCGCCGUAGCUAACGCAUUAAGUGCCCCGCCUGGGGAGUACGGCCGCAAGGCUAAAACUCAAAGGAAUUGACGGGGGCCCGCACAAGCGGCGGAGCAUGCGGAUUAAUUCGAUGCAACGCGAAGAACCUUACCAAGGCUUGACAUGUGCCAGACCGCUCC
rnacentral:rRNA from 1 species